rnacentral:piRNA from 1 species
UGGCUCUUACAAUUCUUCUGCCUC